CCCUUUACUGUAGACGUCAAAGAUGUUGCUACAGCUACCGGUGGGUUAUCACCAGGAUGGAGGUUAUGAUGACCAAAAGAUGAAGAAAGAAUUAUUUAUCCAUUUGUCAUUUGGGUCUUUCAAAAUGCUUUAGGAAGGGACUGGUAAGCUGUAGGAGAGGACAACGAACAAGCAGCUUGGGAAAGACUGGUACCACCGAGUCACUCUGGUAUCUUCCAAAAUAGUCAAGGAUAUCUUUUUGCUACCUCUCCAGUCAGUACUUUGUGGUGAUUAUUGCUUCCCCUUGCUAUUUUUAUGCCACGGAGAGUGAUUUUAGGUGUUGAUGUCGGUGAUUUGAAAACACUCUUUCCCCUCCAGAAGGGAAACGCCAGGCUGCCAAUACCGCACGAUGCACACACGACGAGCGCUGCUGACAGCUGCUCACUCACAUUUGUCAUCGUUAUGUAAAUUGUCAUCUGUCAGAGAUGGGCACCGUCUGACCAAGAAGCAAGGGGGUUUGCUGAGCACAUGGACCACUGGGAAGAGCUGUGGGGUUGGGGCUGAAGGGGGGAUCUGCUGCUGGACUCGGCGCCUUCCUGCUGAGUUGUUAGGGUGGUUGGCUUUGGACUGGUCACUGUGCCUUCACUGGGUGAUGUGCAGUCCCUGUUUCUGGUAACUGCAAUCACAAAUAAAUAUUCAGCAGUAAAGAA